GUGUAUGUGUGCAUGCGUGUGUGUGUAUGUGCAUGUGUGCAUGUGCGUAUGUGUGCAUGUGUGUCCAUGUGUAUGUGUGCAUGUGUGCAUGUGCAUGUGUGUAUGUAUGUGUGCAUGUG
rnacentral:miRNA from 10 species